rnacentral:sRNA from 1 species
UGACGGUCUUAGGCCGCGAGGCCUUGGGU